UACAGAGGGUGCGAGCGUUAAUCGGAAUUACUGGGCGUAAAGCGUGCGUAGACGGUUGCGUAAGUCAGAUGUGAAAGCCCCGGGCUCAACCUGGGAAUUGCAUUUGAGACUGCGUAGCUAGGGUGCGGAAGAGGGAAGCGGAAUUUCCGGUGUAGCGGUGAAAUGCGUAGAUAUCGGAAGGAACACCAGUGGCGAAAGCGGCUUCCUGGUCCAGCACCGACGUCAGGCACGAAAGCGUGGGGAGCAAAC
rnacentral:rRNA from 1 species